rnacentral:tRNA from 1 species
CAGGGAGACAACAAAAUGUUUAAUAUUAUUAUUUUGUCACCUUAGGUCGAUCGGUAUCUCACAUUUUUAAUUUAUUAAGAAUUUCAUUUCCUAAGUUUUUCUAGGUCACACCCAUUAUUUUUUCCUGGGCCAUUAGCUCAGGUGGUUAGAGCGCACCCCUGAUAAGGGUGAGGUCCCUGGUUCAAGUCCAGGAUGGCCCAUAUCUCUAUGUUGGGGGUAUAGCUCAGUUGGUAGAGCGCCUGCUUUGCAAGCAGGAUGUCAGCGGUUCGAGUCCGCUUACCUCCACUGAUUACCACCUCUUCCAUAACCGGUAGAAAGGAAAUGUUUUGAGUUGUGAUCAUUUUUCUGAACGAAUCUAGCUUCCUAAUGAAAUCAUUAAGAUGCUGGACUCAUUGAAUUAAUUUCAUUGUUUUCAGAGAACCUUGACAACUGCAUAGAUUAUUUUAAAGACAAUAAGCAUCUUUAAUGAUGCAGAUUUAUUAUUUGUGCGAAUGCAUUAAUAACAAUUCUAUUAAGCUGAUGCUUCAAUUUUUGAAGUUAUU